rnacentral:rRNA from 1 species
GUCGAGCGGUAACAGAUCUAGCUUGCUAGAUGCUGACGAGCGGCGGACGGGUGAGUAAUGCAUAGGAAUCUGCCCGGUAGUGGGGGAUAACCUGGGGAAACCCAGGCUAAUACCGCAUACGUCCUACGGGAGAAAGGGGGCUUCGGCUCCCGCUAUUGGAUGAGCCUAUGUCGGAUUAGCUAGUUGGUGAGGUAAUGGCUCACCAAGGCAACGAUCCGUAGCUGGUCUGAGAGGAUGAUCAGCCACAUCGGGACUGAGACACGGCCCGAACUCCUACGGGAGGCAGCAGUGGGGAAUAUUGGACAAUGGGCGCAAGCCUGAUCCAGCCAUGCCGCGUGUGUGAAGAAGGCCUUCGGGUUGUAAAGCACUUUCAGCGAGGAAGAACGCCUAGGGGUUAAUACCCACUAGGAAAGACAUCACUCGCAGAAGAAGCACCGGCUAACUCCGUGCCAGCAGCCGCGGUAAUACGGAGGGUGCGAGCGUUAAUCGGAAUUACUGGGCGUAAAGCGCGCGUAGGUGGCUUGAUAAGCCGGUUGUGAAAGCCCCGGGCUCAACCUGGGAACGGCAUCCGGAACUGUCAAGCUAGAGUGCAGGAGAGGAAGGUAGAAUUCCCGGUGUAGCGGUGAAAUGCGUAGAGAUCGGGAGGAAUACCA